ensembl:lncRNA
AUGAACUGGGUCGGAGGAUCUAGGAGCAGGUAUAUGAAAAGCAAAGAAGACACAACAAAACAAAGAGCGUUUUUUCAAAAGCAAAGGAUGAAAAGAAAGUCAAAUACUGAGGAGUCUCCCAAAGGAUACAACCCUGACAAUAUGGAUCUGCUGACAUUAUUCAUAGUAAACCAGAUUUCAUCAAAGAAAGAGCAAACAGAAAAACCGAAAACAAACCUUGUGACUGGUGUGAAAAGAAGCAAAAGAGCUUUGAAAGAACCCUCAGAGUUACCUAUGAGCCCUUGUUCUCCUUCAAAUCUGAACCUAGUUACCAGUCAGCCACAGUGCUGUAUUGAUACGCCUGGUUAUAAAGUCAGAAAACACCGUCUCUCUGAAGAAUUCAAGUUCACGCCCCUGUCUCCUUUGCUUGAAUCGAACCUGUCUGAUGCCAGUGGCUCAGAAAAUCAACCGCAACCGCCCUCAACAUCAUCUGGCUCUUCAGAUCCAACCCAACCCAAACCUGCUCCACACGUAUCCUCUUCUCUGCCAACUCUGGAGAAUCUCAGCAGUAUGAAGAAAACUCCUCAGCUGGCUAAUCCAUGGCCAAAUGAAGCUCUCCUGCAAGAUGUGUCACACAAGAGCUCAGCAGCUGGAAAUCAGUUUGAGAGCACGUUACCAAAAAUCUGUUGCAGCCCAGAGAGGGGAGAGCAUUCAGAGGCCUCAGGUUCAUAUCCACUCAACCCUUUAAAGAGCACUGAAGAACCGGAGGAGCCACUGUUCAUAGAUUUUAAGAACUUAGAUUAUAAAGUGAUCGACUCAAUGAAUCCUUGUGACAGAUCACAAAACAUGGACAGUAAUGGCCACCUCUCAACACAGGGAUUUGUAUGUACUGACAGUAACACAUAUGUUUCAGCAGGUGCUGAUGGUAGCAGCGUCUUUGUGCAUGUUGGAAAAUCUCCAAGAGGAGUUCAUCUCAGCUCAGAUGAUACAGAAGCACAAAGGCGCGAUGGGACUCUCCCAAUAACUUUGGAAACAGGGACACAAACAGGAGCUUUAUCUUACCGAGAUGUGUCAGUUCAGUGCUCACUUAUUCACCACCCUUUCCCUUCUGCUAAGAAAACCAGCGCCUUUACCACAAGGUGGCAGUAUUCUAAUUUUAAUCAGUUGCUUAAUCCAACAACACAUACUUCUCCAAAAAAUGGGCACAAAAGAACAGGAAACAUGCCUUCAGGGGCAUCAGCAACAAACCAGCAGGUGCAGAGACAUCCAAAAUCACAAAUGGGCUUCUCCUUCCGCAAGCUUCAUAGUCAGAAGAGCAUGAAAAGAGAUCUGACGUCAGCUUCGAAACAUCCUUUCUGCAACGCCUCAGAACAGAAAAAAGAGGAAAGCAGGAAGAAAAUAGACAAGUGUGACUACCCUCGGUUGGGAUAUAUGACGCGAAACCCUGUUAAGGACGUCAGCCAUGAAGGAGAGUUCAUGAAAGAGAUGAAGAGGUGUAGAACUUCACAGCAGAGAAAGGUGUGA